rnacentral:rRNA from 1 species
CCUACGGGUGGCAGCAGUGAGGAAUAUUGGUCAAUGGGUGCGAGCCUGAACCAGCCAAGUCGCGUGAGGGAAGACGGUCCUAUGGAUUGUAAACUGCUUUUGUACGGGAAUAACGCGCCUUACGUGUAGGGCUUUGCAUGUACCGUAUGAAUAAGGACCGGCUAAUUCCGUGCCAGCAGCCGCGGUAAUACGGAAGGUCCGGGCGUUAUCCGGAUUUAUUGGGUUUAAAGGGAGCGUAGGCCGCAUGUCAAGCGUGCUGUGAAAUGUCCGGGCUCAACCCGGGCCUUGCAGCGCGAACUGGCGUGCUUGAGUCCGCGGAAAGCAGGCGGAAUGCGUCGUGUAGCGGUGAAAUGCUUAGAUAUGACGAAGAACCCCGAUUGCGAAGGCAGCUUGCUGCAGCGGAACUGACGCUGAUGCUCGAAAGCGCGGGUAUCGAACAGGAUUAGAUACCCGAGUAGUC